rnacentral:rRNA from 1 species
AGAGCGAACGCUGGCGGCAGGCCUAAUACAUGCAAGUCGAACGCACCUUCGGGUGAGUGGCGGACGGGUGAGUAACACGUGGGAACGUGCCCUUUGGUUCGGAAUAAUCCGGGGAAACCUGGCCUAAUACCGGAUGUGCCCUUCGGGGGAAAGAUUUAUCGCCAUUGGAGCGGCCCGCGUCUGAUUAGCUUGUUGGUGGGGUAAUGGCCCACCAAGGCUACGAUCAGUAGCUGGUCUGAGAGGAUGAUCAGCCACACUGGGACUGAGACACGGCCCAGACUCCUACGGGAGGCAGCAGUAGGGAAUCUUGCGCAAUGGGCGAAAGCCUGGCGCAGCCAUGCCGCGUGAAUGAUGAAGGUCUUAGGAUUGUAAAAUUCUUUCAGCGGGGAAGAUAAUGACUGUACCGCAGAAGAGCUCCGGCUAACUUCGCGCCAGCAGCCGC